rnacentral:rRNA from 1 species
GACGAACGCUGGCGGCGUGCUUAACACAUGCAAGUCGAACGGAAAGGCCCUGCUUUUGUGGGGUGCUCGAGUGGCGAACGGGUGAGUAACACGUGAGUAACCUGCCCUUGACUUUGGGAUAACUUCAGGAAACUGGGGCUAAUACCGGAUAGGAGCUCCUGCUGCAUGGGGGGGGUUGGAAAGUUUCGGCGGUUGGGGAUGGACUCGCGGCUUAUCAGCUUGUUGGCGGGGUAGUGGCUUACCAAGGCUUUGACGGGUAGCCGGCCUGAGAGGGUUGCCGGCCACAUUGGGACUGAGGUACGGCCCAGACUCCUACGGGACGCAGCAGUGGGGAGUAUUGCACAAUGGGCGCACGCCUGAUGCAGCAACGCCGCGUGCGGGAUGACGGCCUUCGGGUUGUAAACCGCUUUCGCCUGUGACGAAGCGUGAGUGACGGUAAUGGGUAAAGAAGCACCGGCUAACUACGUG